rnacentral:rRNA from 1 species
CAAUAGUGUAUGCUAAAGUUGUUGCAGUUAAAAGCUCGUAGUUGGAUUUCUGGUGUGGUGCGCCUGGCCGGUCCAGUGCUGUGUGCGCGCGCACCGACCAUCCUUCAGGAGAACAGCUCUGCCAUUAAUUUGGUUGGGUUGGGAUCCUGAUCGUUUACUUUGAGAAAAUUAGAGUGUUUAAGGCAGGCUUAUGCCGUGAAUAGUACAGCAUGGAAUAAUAAGAUAGGACUUCGUGUGCUAUUUUGUUGGUUUCUAGCUGCGCGAAGUAAUGAUUGAUAGGGAUCGUUGGGGGUGCUAGUAUUAAACGGCCAGAGGUGAAAUUCUUGGAUUCGUUUAAGACUAACUUCUGCGAAAGCAUUCGCCAAGGAGGUCUUCUUUAAUCAAGAACGAAAGUUGGGGGAUCGAAGACGAUUAGAUACCA